CUGGAACCACUUAAAAGAUCUACAUAGUCUGGCUGAAGACUUUAAAUUUAGUACUUUUUGAAAGGCAACCUAAUUUUUUUAUUUUAAUUUUUUUUCUUUUUUUCAUUUUAGAUUAUCUUUAAAAUACAAAUUGAUUAGAAAAUAAAUUGCUUGAUGGACUUCUGACAAACACCUAUUGAGCCAAAAGCUUGUUUCUCCUAGG
rnacentral:lncRNA from 1 species